CCGGAGCUUGCUCCACCGGAAAAAGANGAGUGGCGAACGGGUGAGUAACACGUGGGUAACCUGCCCAUCAGAAGGGGAUAACACUUGGAAACAGGUGCUAAUACCGUAUAACAAUCGAAACCGCAUGGUUUUGAUUUGAAAGGCGCUUUCGGGUGUCGCUGAUGGAUGGACCCGCGGUGCAUUAGCUAGUUGGUGAGGUAACGGCUCACCAAGGCCACGAUGCAUAGCCGACCUGAGAGGGUGAUCGGCCACAUUGGGACUGAGACACGGCCCAAACUCCUACGGGAGGCAGCAGUAGGGAAUCUUCGGCAAUGGACGAAAGUCUGACCGAGCAACGCCGCGUGAGUGAAGAAGGUUUUCGGAUCGUAAAACUCUGUUGUUAGAGAAGAACAAGGAUGAGAGUAACUGUUCAUCCCUUGACGGUAUCUAACCAGAAAGCCACGGCUAACUACGUGCCAGCAGCCGCGGUAAUACGUAGGUGGCAAGCGUUGUCCGGAUUUAUUGGGCGUAAAGCGAGCGCAGGCGGUUUCUUAAGUCUGAUGUGAAAGCCCCCGGCUCAACCGGGGAGGGUCAUUGGAAACUGGGAGACUUGAGUGCAGAAGAGGAGAGUGGAAUUCCAUGUGUAGCGGUGAAAUGCGUAGAUAUAUGGAGGAACACCAGUGGCGAAGGCGGCUCUCUGGUCUGUAACUGACGCUGAGGCUCGAAAGCGUGGGGAGCAAACAGGAUUAGAUACCCUGGUAGUCCACGCCGU
rnacentral:rRNA from 1 species